AGGCCUAACACAUGCAAGUCGAGCGGCAGCGACAACAAUGAACCUUCGGGGGAUUUGUUGGGCGGCGAGCGGCGGACGGGUGAGUAAUGCUUAGGAAUUUGCCCAGUCGAGGGGGACAACAGUUGGAAACGACUGCUAAUACCGCAUACGCCCUACGGGGGAAAGCAGGGGCUCUUCGGACCUUGCGCGAUUGGAUAAGCCUAAGUGAGAUUAGCUAGUUGGUGAGGUAAUGGCUCACCAAGGCGACGAUCUCUAGCUGGUUUGAGAGGAUGAUCAGCCACACUGGGACUGAGACACGGCCCAGACUCCUACGGGAGGCAGCAGUGGGGAAUAUUGCACAAUGGGCGAAAGCCUGAUGCAGCCAUGCCGCGUGUGUGAAGAAGGCCUUCGGGUUGUAAAGCACUUUCAGCGAGGAGGAAAGGUCAGUGGUUAAUACCCGCUGGCUGUGACGUUACUCGCAGAAGAAGCACCGGCUAACUCCGUG
rnacentral:rRNA from 1 species